GUAAGUACCAUGAGGAAAAUAAACAGGGGCAAGAGAUAGAGGAGGGGGUGGGGCCAUUUCAGACAAGGGGCUUCUCUCAGAGGAGGCCAGCAGUUGGGAGUAAUUGCGUGAUGAGAAGAUCAGGGGAGGGCUGGCCAGGAGGGAUGAGCAGGGGCAAAGGGCUGGAGGCAGGAAUUGGCCUCGGAGGCUUGAGGUCCGCCUGCAGGUGGGAGGGGGCUUGGUGGCUAGAGAUGAGCUCCAGGAUCUCCGUGGCUUUCCUUCACAUUUUUCCCUUCCAGAAGACAAGGAGUGGAACUCUGGGCUGGGAACUGUAUCUGACCCUUUCCACGAAUUAGCACCUCAUUAGAACUUCCCUGGUGUCUCAGACGGCUUUCCUGGUGGCUCAGAUGGUUAAGAAUCUGCCUGCACUGCAGGAGACCCAGGUUCAAUCCUUGGGUCAGGAAGAUCCCCUGGAGAGCAGCACCUUGACCGCAACCCUAGCAAACCAUCAGCAGGCCCCACGGAUCUGCCAGGCACCACCUGCCAGAAAGCCCUAGAUAGAUGUACAGUUGUCACAUUUAAUCUUUAUACCAACCGCUGUUGUGUGUGUAUCAAUCGCUCUGUUUAAAUUGGAGUAAACCGAGGCACAGACAGGUGAAGUCACUCACCCACACAGCUCACUCAGGCUUUGGACUCAGGGACUCUGAUGGCAUUGAUGAAGAAUCUGAGGCACAGAGAGGUCGAGUAACCAGCCCCAGGUGACCCAGCAAGGAGGUGGAGGAGCCAGAACUCUAGCCCAGCAGUCUUGGUCCUGAAUCUGCAUCCCUGAGCCCUGCACUGUAGUAGGAGAGGGGACCCCCAACUCCAGAGUCAGCCAACCCUGGGAGAGAUGCCUGGCACUGCCUGGCUGCAUGGCCUGGCACAAGUCCCUGUCUUCUCCGUGAACUGGCUCCCCACUCAGGAUGGAGAUAAGGAAGCCUGCUAUCAGAUGGCUUGAGGAUGAGCUCGGGUGAAGGAUAGGCUCUGGCACACAGUGGCACUUGGGAGGUUGCUCUCCCACAGUGUCCAAUGGGCACUUCCUGUAAAGGGCAGAUGGAAAGGUGUGGCCAGGUGAGGGUGGGCCGGGAACUCCAGGUGGGAUGUCCCUUCCCUGCAGCUGUGCAGACAGAGCAGGUGAGGGCCCCCCCGGAGACAGAUAGGUGGAGCAUCCGCCCUCUCCCCAGCCCACAGCCCCACUGCCGAAGGAAUUCUGGGGAGUCGGGGAGGAGAGAGGGGUUUCCCAAGGUCUGUGCACAGGGCCUAACCCCCUAGGCUGUGUGCCAGGACCCUGAGAGGUGGGCGAGGCAGGAGGCAGGAAAGGAGGCUGCAGCCAAGAGCCAUAGGAAUGGCAAAGAGAAAAGGGGCCCAGCCCUGGUUGCCAGCUCCGGCUGGGUUCCCAGGGGGGUGGUCUUUGGGUUGGCAGGGUUACCUCCUCAGGCCGGUGGGCUGGCCUUCAGCUUAGCAGACUC
ensembl:lncRNA